GAGAGAUGGCAGAGCGGUUGAAUGCGGCGGUCUUGAAAACCGUUGGGCGCGCAAGCGUUCCGGGGGUUCGAAUCCCCCUCUCUCC
rnacentral:tRNA from 2 species